ensembl:lncRNA
GAAUAUUCAGGGUUGAUUUCCUUUAGAAUUGACUAGUUUGAUCUCCUUGACUCCAAGAGACUCUUUCAGACACUACAAUUCAAAAACAUCAGUUCCUCAGUGCUCAACCUUCUUUAUAGUCCAAUUCUCAUAUCAUACAUGACUACUAGAAAAACCAUAGCUUUGACUAUACAGGCCUUUGUCAGCAAAGUGAUAUCUCUGCUUUUUGUUACGCUGUCUAUAGGUGCCCUGGAUUCUCUCAGGGCCACUGGAAGAGUAAAAAUAACUUUGGAAUCAGAAAGAUCUGGGUGGAAAUUUUAGUUUUAUCACUCACCAGCUUGUGCCUGGUUAAGGCUGCAUUUUCUCAUCUCUGAAGUGAUGAUAGUAGGACCUGCCUCCUAGGAAGGUGUCAGAGGUAAAACGUAGCAAAUGCCUCAUACAGAGAUUGACAGUCAAUCUUCUUCCUUGGCCUCCAUCACAGCUGGAAUCUCAUUUGCCCAGCCUGUGAAGGUGUAGGUCUCAUCUUACCCAGAAUCACAAAACAAGAGUUGCCAGAAGCUGUUUCCAAAGUUUCACAAAUAGCCUAACAUUUUCACAGCAGUUCUUGGGGGUUUUGCCAUGUAUCAGUGGGAACAAUACAGCCCUGAGAUCCCACGAGCUAUUUCAAACUCUAGAUUGAUGAGAACAAGAGUUCCUAGGAAGGGAUAUUUACCAACUGAGAGCAUUAUAAUUGUUAAAGUAGCUGUUAUGAGCCAGAUCAUAUUCCUGCUGACAACAGGGAGGCAAAGAAUUUCAAUGGUUGCCUAGAAAAUUGAGUAAAAGUUCCCCAAGUUACCUGCCACACACAGGUUUGUUUUUCCUUAAUUAUCUGAGUAAUUGCUUUGCGUCCUUUACCUGCCUUUGCCAAGAGACACCUGGGCAGAAGAGUGAGCAGUUAGAGCGUUUACGGGGCCGCCUGCUGAGUGCAGCUUCAGGCUGCUCAUCUCGGUGUGAUGACUUCUCCAUUGUCAGUGGGACAUGCCUAUCAACUUCCCCUCCUCCCCACCGGAACUAAUGAGGCCUUUCUAAUUAAUCUGGGUCCCUGCUCUUGCAGAAUUACAUGGUUUGUCUUUUUUUUUAAUAUACAUGAAAUUAUCUGCCUAAAAUCAAAUCAUUUUAUUGGAAAACAUAAUACUCAGAUCAAUUUGAUAAUAUACAUACGAAUUUGGGGAGGAGUCAAGACAGAAACAAUCAGGUUUCAUCAAGGCGGUGUUUUCUUAAAUGUCACUUUUGACAAAUACGUACAAAUCAAACCAACAUUCAUCAAACACUGUCUCUGAAUUAGAGUAGAGAGCUCACUAGACAGUUAUCACUGGAGUCCCUGAAUGUAAAACAAGAGGAAAACAUAAGAAGCAAAAGUUGAGAUUGGAGCUGGUGAGAGAGUUAGCAAAUACACCACUUAUGGUGAAGAAAAGACAUUUUUCAGAGGCACCAAAAUAUACUUCUUGGCCUGAACAUGGUAGGCCAAGUGCAAGUACAAGUCAAAGUUUAACUCAAAGACUCACAGGACUUGAAUUGCAGAUGCCAAAUAAUAUAGAUCAGCUCUCCCUCCUGGAUGACACAGGAGGUUUAGGCUUGCAUAUGCUAUUUCUUUGUAUUUGUGAAAAGUCCCAUUGUAUGAGUCGGGAUAGGCCAGGCUAUGUUGCAGUAACAAGUAACCCCAAGUCUCAAUAACUUAUUGCUACAAAUGUUUACCUAUUGCCUGCUUUAUUGGUCAGGAUUUUCCAGUAAAAACAGAACAAAGUGUAGAUAGAUAAUG